rnacentral:rRNA from 1 species
UACGUAGGGUGCGAGCGUUGUCCGGAAUUAUUGGGCGUAAAGAGCUCGUAGGCGGUUUGUUGCGUCGGCUGUGAAAACCUGCGGCUUAACUGUGGGCUUGCAGUCGAUACGGGCAGACUUGAGUUCGGCAGGGGAGACUGGAAUUCCUGGUGUAGCGGUGAAAUGCGCAGAUAUCAGGAGGAACACCGGUGGCGAAGGCGGGUCUCUGGGCCGAUACUGACGCUGAGGAGCGAAAGCGUGGGGAGCGAACAGGA